rnacentral:rRNA from 1 species
UACGGAGGGUGCAAGCGUUGUUCGGAAUUAUUGGGCGUAAAGCGCGUGUAGGCGGUUUUUUAAGUCUGAUGUGAAAGCCCCGGGCUCAACCUGGGAAGUGCAUUGGAUACUGGAAGACUUGAGUACGGGAGAGGGUAGUGGAAUUCCUAGUGUAGGAGUGAAAUCCGUAGAUAUUAGGAGGAACACCGGUGGCGAAGGCGGCUGCCUGGACCGAUACUGACGCUGAGACGCGAAAGCGUGGGGAGCAAACAGGAUUAGAUA